rnacentral:rRNA from 1 species
GAUGAACGCUAGCGGCAGGCUUAAUACAUGCAAGUCGUGGGGCAGCAUGACUGUAGCAAUACAGUUGAUGGCGACCGGCAAACGGGUGCGGAACACGUACGCAACUUACCCAAAACUGGUGAAUAGCCCUCCGAAAGGAGGAUUAAUACACCGUAACCUAUUGAGAUGGCAUCAUUUUAAUAGUAUAGCUCCGGCGGUUUUGGAUGGGCGUGCGGCUGAUUAGGUAGUUGGUAGAGGUAACGGCUCACCAAGCCUGCGAUCAGUAACUGGUGUGAGAGCACGACCAGUCACACGGGCACUGAGACACGGGCCCGACUCCUACGGGAGGCAGCAGUAAGGAAUAUUGGUCAAUGGACGCAAGUCUGAACCAGCCAUGCCGCGUGAAGGAUGAAGGUCCUCUGGAUUGUAAACUUCUUUUAUAGGGGACGAAACCCUCUUUUUCUAAAGAGACUGACGGUACCCUAGGAAUAAGCACCGGCUAACUCCGUGCCAGCAGCCGCGGUAACAC